UACAAACCUGCAAGACCACCACAUUCCAGGAAACGGACUGAUAAGCUAAUUAACAUACGAAGCGGGGUUUAGCGGGGUUUAGGUAACGAAUAUGUAUAGGCGUUAAUUGAAUAUUCAUUUGUUUCAUUGUAUAAAUGUGAGAUGGUUCGUCACUUCGGGCAUGCACGCUUGUGGAGGAGCGAUCCCCCGUGCAACUGCGCACAAUAAACAUACCUACUUUAUAACUUCCGAGUUAUAGAGUCUAAUUCCUCACGUCAGUUGUAUACUCAACUGUAUAAAUAGUGUAAAGUUUUGACAAUCGGAGAGCUAGGCAUUUGAGGGUUACCACCUAGCUCCCUACUUUGCGCAAACUAGAAUAAAGAAAUAAGGAAUACCUCAACUUGGUGUGUGAAUUGGCACUGCGCACUGUGUAAGGAACCUGCUUACUGACAACAAAGCUAUAUAUAAUAUUUCAAUAUCUUGUGAGGUUUUCACUGAAGAUGAUUCUUGGGCUUCCAGUGUAUAAAACGUAGUUUUGAUCAUGUUAUAGUUUUGCUAUAUAAGUUAAGAUUGAUUGACUUUAUUUGAUUGAUUAUUUGAUUUUAUAAAAAUUAUUUUAUAAAAUAGAAAUAUAGAAGGAUAAGAAAUAUAUUUUAAUGAAACUUAUAGUUGCACAGUAAAAGCUGCUAUGAAAUCCUCUGUAUAUCCCGUACCACAGCUAGAAGAAUGGGCUAGAACCAUUGUGGAUAACUGGCUAGCUGAAAAGGGUCACAUAGACAUAGUCCAGCUGGCUGGACAAAAAUGCACAUCGCUCUCAGCUUAUCUGAAGUAAAGCAAAAAUACACUGUCCUUGGCUGUUCUUGUUACACAAUAUCAGGAAGAUUGUGGUGGGAAAAGAAUGUUACAGGUGGGAACAGAUAACUACAGAAGAGAAACUAGGGGCGGGCUUGGUAUUUAGGCAACUAAGCUUAACUUUUGUAAUAUGUAUGAGCUAAUUAUAACAAGGCAUAAAAGGUGACUGUAAGGUACAAUAAAUGAAGUCUGCUGAUCACUC